AUGCAUUUUUGUUUUCUGUCUCUUCCCCGCUAACUGCCCUUUGGCAUGGCUCUUUUGCUCAUCUCACCCAUGGGAUCUCUCCAUCCUGACCCUGUGGCCUGGGACCUUUCCUCCUCACCCCUCCACUGGCUUGUUCUCCCCUUCCCGGGAGCUGGGCUCUCUGGGGCGUUGGGGCUCCUUCCUCACCCGAUAGUCUGAGGAUAGCCAGACCCCCCAAACAAGGCUUGAAUAACUCUCCACCCGUGAAAGAAUUCAAGGAGAGCUCUGCAGCCGAGGCCUUCCGGUGCCGCAGCAUCAGUGUGUCUGAACAUGUGGUCCGCAGCAGGAUACAGACGUCCCUCACCAGUGCCAGCUUGGGGUCUGCAGACGAGAACUCCGUGGCCCAGGCUGACGAUAGCCUGAAAAACCUCCACCUGGAGCUCACGGAAACCUGUCUGGACAUGAUGGCUCGAUACGUCUUCUCCAACUUCACGGCUGUCCCGAAGAGGUCCAGGCGGCACUCCAGGGCUGGGCGGGCCUGCGGGAGCCCCACGGGCGAGCUGGGUUUCACGUUCCCUGUCUUCUAGGUCUCCUGUGGGCGAGUUCCUCCUGGCGGGUGGCAGGACCAAAACCUGGCUGGUUGGGAACAAGCUUGUCACUGUGACGACAAGCGUGGGAACCGGGACCCGGUCGUUACUAGGCCUGGACUCGGGGGAGUUGCAGUCCGGCCCAGAGUCGAGCUCCAGCCCCGGCGUGCAUGUGAGACAGACAAAGGAGGCGCCGGCCAAGCUGGAGUCCCAGGCUGGGCAGCAGGUGUCCCGUGGGGCCCGGGACCGGGUCCGUUCCAUGUCGGGGGGCCAUGGUCU
rnacentral:sRNA from 1 species